rnacentral:lncRNA from 1 species
AAGUAAUAAUCACAACACAGUCAACCACAUUCCAGAAUCUAGCAUAAAGACUAAUUCCAGAAUACCUAACUAUCCACAACUUAGCGAUAUCAUCUAAGCAUUCUGCAUUCGCUAACUAACCAAUCAACCUAACCAUUAGCAUGCUACUACGGUUCUCAAGCAAUAACAAGCAUGCCAUCAACAUAACCUCAAUUUUUAACUAGUCAAACCAUUACUCAGUUACACCCGCCCCCUGCCAUGAUCCAACUUCCAAGUAACGGGAACCUGCAUGAAAGCAAGUCAGCAAACAAUUGAUCAUAACUCACAGGUUUUGGUUGACUGUGGCCUUGACCCCAAACCUGACUUCUGCGAUCCGAACCCUUUCCCGACCUUCACAAAUAGACCCACUUCUUGACUGAUCUCCACUUGAAAUGGUCUCCACUAGAACUGAUCUCUCUUCACUUGAAAAGAACCUUUUCCAGGUGCUGACUCAAAAUCGGCAGCGUAAGUGUUCUCAAAACUCGAUCUUUGAUUUCUCUAUCACGUUUCGAAGUAGGUUUGAUGUGUUCUGAAUGUGUUCAAAUGAGAGGGGGUCGUGUCCUAUUUAUAGGAAUCAGCAACCAAUCAGGAAUAAGCCGUGUGGCAGCCCGUAUGUCGCUUCGCAUGGCUCUGGACGCAUGCGCGGCGGCACCUCGUGCUCCACAUGGCUGGCUGCAUGUCUCAGUCUCAUGCAUGAUGACACCACGCCCUCUACCUGUCUGGAUGCAUGGCCUGGCUCCAUGCAAGGAGACAGCACGUCCUCCACAUGUCUGGCCGCAUGGCCCGGUCGCAUGCAUCGCAACACCUUGUUCUUGGACGAUCCACCUCGUGCUCCACUUGUCUUUCAGCAUGGCCUGCUCACAUGCAGGGUGACACAAUGCCCUCUACCUGUAUGGAUGCAUGGCCUGGCUUCAUGCAAGGAGACACCACGUCCUCCACAUGUCUGGCCGCAUGGCCCGGUCGCAUGCAUCGUAACACCUCGUGCUUGGCCGAUCCACCUCGUGAUCCACUUGUCUUCUUGCAUGUACAGGUUGCAUGUACUGCAGCACCUCAUGCUUCCCUUGACACACAUACUUCCAGGAUCUUGCCACCACGUCCUCAACACAUACACAUCAAGCCACCUCGAGCUUCUAGGUCGAUUCGGCCUAUUUCGGCGUUUCUGGUGAAUUUUAAUCCCCCGAUGAAUCCCAAAUAUUUUUCUACGCCCGUUCUGAUGGCCUGAGUAUUUUUAAAAAACCUCAGUUGGACUCUGAUCUUGAGGAAAAAUAUUUCUCGAGCUUCCGACUUCUUCGAAAAAUUCCACAAUACCGAAAUUUAGGGUUUUUUGCCCAAUUUCCGAUCUUCCUGAACGGCCUUUGAAUCAAUCUACCACAUUGUCUAACCAUUUUCUAGUGGUAUACUUGACUCAUGGGUUAGAAAAAAACAAUCUGAUCAUCCGCGACUCGACCACCCAUUGUCUACACCGACUGUCCAUGUUAAUCAUUACUCUGAUCCCAAAGGCCAACACAAUAGGAUCGAAAUCCUAUGAUGUUAUCCCAUGCUAAUGUAUACAGAGUGUAGGCCUGCUUUGAGCACUCUAAUUUCUUCAAAGUAACAGCACUGGAGGCACGACCCGGCCAGUUAAGGCCAGGAGCAUAUCGCCGACAGAAGAGACAAGCCGACCGGUGCUCACCGAAGGCGGACCGGGCGACCCAUCCCAAGGUUCAACUAUGAGCUUUUUAACUGCAACAACUUAAAUAUACGCUAUUGGAGCUGGAAUUACCGCGGCUGCUGGCACCAGACUUGCCCUCGAAUGGAUCCUCAUUAAGGGAUUUAGAUUGUACUCAUUCCAAUUACCAGACUCAAAGAGCCUGGUAUUGGUAUUUAUUGUCACUUCCUCCCCGUGUCAGGAUUGGGUAAUUUGCGCGCCUGCUGCCUUUCUAGGAUGUGGUAGCCGUUUCCCAGGCUCCCACUCCGGAAUCAAACCCUAAUUCUCCGUCACCCGUUACCACCAUGGUAGGCCACUAUCCUACCAUCGAAAGUUGAUAGGGCAGAAAUUUGAAUGAUGCGUCGCCAGCACUAAGGCCAUGCGAUCCGUCGAGUUAUCAUGAAUCAUCAUAGCAUUGGGCAGAGCCCGCGUUGACCUUUUAUAUAAUAAAUGCAUCCCUUCCAGAACUCGGGGUUUGUUGCACGUAUUAGCUCUAGAAUUACUACGGUUAUCCGAGUAGUAAUUACCAUCAAACAAAGUAUAACUGAUUUAAUGAGCCAUUCGCAGUUUCACAGUCUGAAUUCGUUCAUACUUACACAUGCAUAGCUUAAUCUUUGAGACAAGCAUAUGACUACUGGCAGGAUCAAUGAGGUAGCAUUCAUAAAUCAGGGAGAGACCACGUCAUAUUCCCGCAAACACAUGGAAAGUGGGAACAGACGCAGACUUGACCGUCAUCUUUUGUCCGAAGACAAACGUGCUUAGCGGGACAGAAUUUCUUUGAUUCACCGCCAUAAUAUUUCCACAACCGAGAUCUCAGCAAACAGCUUAUUCACCUUUGCGAACAAUGCAUAAAUUAUGCAAGGACGCAAGGAUCACAAGUGCCGGCUUAUGUUUUUACGAAUUCCCCACUGAAGGAGAUGCCGCAAACAACAUUUUAAGAAAAGCUUAACUAUUCCUUCCAGAUAGGUACAUAACACAGGCCCCGGAUCAUUUCAACAAGCAUAAAACUAUGCUAGUGAAGAAACUGAGGAGGAUAGUUAGUCUGUAGUUGGGUGCGCGAGCACAGAACCUACAAACACUAGCUAUCCAAUCACCACUCAUACGCCGAAUGUUCAUUUGCCCCGCUAAUAUCAAUCUUUCCAACCACUCUUGAGAUGUAAUAAAAAGAGCAACUGGAAGACGGAUGAAACCAGGCCAAGACCACACAAGCGCGAAAAUUUGAAGUUAGAGGCAAAACGGUCCGCCAGAAAAUUCGCCGGAAAAGUUACCAGAAAAUUCACCGGAGACAAUCCGGCCAUCGACCUCAACCCAGCCUUCGAUAGUGUUGGACCGAGCAGUCCAACACUACAUACCCCUUCGGGUACUGAGGGUAGGCUCAGAAGAGUGUCUACCCCUUAUAUAGACAAAACACUUAUUUUCAGUCUGUCACUAGUAGACAUUGGUUGUGUUUCCGAGAGUAUUUUUAAGGUAAAAAAAAAUACUUCGAAUUUAAAUCUGAUUUUUUGCAUGCUUGAUAAGAAUGGUUAAAAAUACUUCGAAUUUGAAUCUGAUUCUUUUGCUUCUAACCAUGUGUUUUGCAUGCUAAAAGGUUCGGGAUUUCGUGGUCUAAACGGCUGUCUACAGCAACUUUUGAUCAACACUUGAAAUCCUAAACUCUUUUGAAUUUUUGGCUUCUCGGGUGAUUUUGGCUGUCCGUGGGUGAUUUUGGCCCAUGUGGGCUGUCUGUUCAGUACACACAGGACGUCUGUGUGUGUCCGUCAGCACACACAGGACGUCCGUGGCUGUCCGUGUGUGUCCGUCAGCACACACAAAACGUCCGUGGCUGUCCAUCAGUACACAUAUCAGCACGCUGGUCCUUGGACUCAGCACGCUUGCCCUUCCCAUGGACUGUUUUGGUGAUUUUAGCUUACGUGGGCUGUCUGUUCAGUACACACAGGACGUCCGUGGGUGUCCACCAGCACACAAAGGACGUCCAUGGCUAUCCGUCAGCACACACAUGACGUUCAUGGCUGUCCGUGUGUGUCCGUGUGUGUCUGUCAGCACACACAAGACGUCUGUGGCUGUCCAUCAGUACACAUAUCAGCACGCUGGUCCAUGGACUCAGCACGCUAGCCUUUCUCGUGGACUGUUCGGGUGAUUUUGGCCUACUUGGGCUGUCUGUUCAGUACACACAGGACGUCCCUGGGUGUCCGUCAGCACACACAGGACGUCUGUGGGUGUCCGAUAGCACACACAGGAAGUCUGUGGCUGUCCGUGUGUGUCCAUGUGUGUCUGUCAGCACACACAGGUCGUCUGUGGCUGUCCAUCAGUACACAUAUCAGCACGUUGGCCCUUGGACUCAGCACGCUGACCAUUCAUGUGGACUGUUCGGGUGAUUUCGGCCCACGUGGGUGUCCGUCAGCACACACAGGACGUUCGUGUGUGUCCGUCACCACACACAGGACGUCCGUGGCUGUCCGUGUGUGUCCAUGUGUGUUCGUCAGCACACACAGGACGUCCGUGGCUGUCCAUCAGUACACAUAUCAGCACGCUGGUCCUUGGACUCAGCACGCUUGCCCUUCCCAUGGACUGUUUUGGUGAUUUUAGCUUACGUGGGCUGUCUGUUCAGUACACACAGGACGUCCGUGGGUGUCCACCAGCACACAAAGGACGUCCAUGGCUAUCCGUCAGCACACACAUGACGUUCAUGGCUGUCCGUGUGUGUCCGUGUGUGUCUGUCAGCACACACAAGACGUCUGUGGCUGUCCAUCAGUACACAUAUCAGCACGCUGGUCCAUGGACUCAGCACGCUAGCCUUUCUCGUGGACUGUUCGGGUGAUUUUGGCCUACUUGGGCUGUCUGUUCAGUACACACAGGACGUCCCUGGGUGUCCGUCAGCACACACAGGACGUCUGUGGGUGUCCGAUAGCACACACAGGAAGUCUGUGGCUGUCCGUGUGUGUCCAUGUGUGUCUGUCAGCACACACAGGUCGUCUGUGGCUGUCCAUCAGUACACAUAUCAGCACGUUGGCCCUUGGACUCAGCACGCUGACCAUUCAUGUGGACUGUUCGGGUGAUUUCGGCCCACGUGGGUGUCCGUCAGCACACACAGGACGUUCGUGUGUGUCCGUCACCACACACAGGACGUCCGUGGCUGUCCGUGUGUGUCCAUGUGUGUUCGUCAGCACACACAGGACGUCCGUGGCUGUCCGUGUGUGUCCAUGUGUGUUCGUCAGCACACACAGGACGUCCGUGGCUGUCCGUGUGUGUCCAUGUGUGUUCGUCAGCACACACAGGACGUCCGUGGCUGUCCAUCAGUACACAUAUCAGCACGGUUGUCCUUGGACUCAGCACGCUGACCCUUCCCGUGGACUGUUCGGGUGAUUUUGGCCCACGUGGUGUUGUAGUACCCACGACUGAGGUUCCCAUCAUCCGCAAAGGUCCUACCACAAGGUCCGGCUCAAGGGUUAUAAGAGCUGGAUUUGCCAAAGCUGUCCAGGAGUUGCUUGCACAGGAACAAACCGGAUUCAAGCAACUAUUGAUCCAGGAGUUGGCCGACUUGAAGCUUGAAGACACCAGCGAACCGUUAGAGAUUCCAGAUUCCUUCCAUUCAAGCCAGUUCUCCUCCAUCGACCAGAAUGAAGCCGGCCUGACCAUUUCCACCUUCAUCCUCAAUCCAUCCAACCAACUUGCUUCCGGUUAAGAGAUAUAGACGUCCAUCAGAAGGAGUAGUAUGUGUUGUACUCUUUUUCCUUCAUCGGGUUUUGUCCCACUGGGUUUUUCUGAUAAGGUUUUAAUGAGGCAACAUUCCAGCAUAGUAGUUCUGAUCCGGACAUCUCAAUCCGCGACCGGUCUAUUGUUUUAUUUAAUUUAUUUUGGUUAAGACUUUGGGCAAUUGUCAGUCCUUUUAAGAGUCAGCCAUUUGUCAAGGCCUUUUAUAUUUUAGAGUUCAUUAAGGGGAAACUAUUUAAACCCUUGUAGUGUGCAGAUUUUUGGCCAAGUCUUUUAUGAAAAUCGUUUUGCCUUAGCAAAGAAACCCUUAGUCUUUCAGUUGUGUAAAACUAUUGAGAGCAGCCGUCUGACAUAUCAAAGAGCCGAUCCAUUGUUCUUUGUGGAGUCCAUCGAUCCAUUCCAUCUCUUGUCCGAUCUUCAGAGAGACAUACAUCCAGCAAGAACCGGAUCCAUAUCUAUCCUUCAAACCAUCCUUUGAUCUUGUUGAGAGAGACACACGUCCAGCAACAGAUCCAAACCACCAUACUUCUCUUCUAUUUAUCUUUUCUGUUCUUAGAUUUCCUUAAUCCAUAUUUUAAAACCCAUAAAAAAUCUUAUCUUGCUUAUUUUUCAUUCAUCCAUUUGCCUCUCUGUUUCUGUUCUGAACUUUAUAGAAAACUCAUCAAAAGGUUCAUAUUUGUUUCAGGUACAAUCGCAUAUAAGAGAAGACCCAGUCAGAACCAUCCAGCCGAGCCGAGACUGAACCGCAACAACCCUCAGACCGUACCGUCCAACCAUCCCGAUCCGUGUGUGUCAGUGUAAGCCGUGUGUGUCUGUCAGUACAACCAGGACGUCCGUAGGUGUCCGUCAGCACACACAGGACGUCUGUGUGUGUCCGUCAGCACACACAAGACGUCUGUGGCUGUCCAUCAGUACACAUAUCAGCACUUUGGUCCUUGGACUCAGCACGCUGGCCCUUCCCAUGGACUGUUUGGGUGUUUUUGGCCCACGUGGGCUGUCUGUUCAUUACACACAGGACGUCCGUGGGUGUCCGCCAGCACACACAGGACGUCUGUGGCUGUCCGUCAGCACACACAGGACGUCUGUGGCUGUCCGCGUGUGUCCAUGUGCGUCAGUGUGUGUCCGUCAGCAAACAGGACGUCUGUGGCUGUCCAUCAGUACACAUAUCAGAACGCUGGUCCUUGGACUCACCACGCUGGCCCUUCCCGUGGACUGUUCGGGUGAUUUUGGCCCACGUGGGCUGUCUGUUCAGUACACACAGGACGUCCGUGGGUUUCUGUCAGCACACAGAGGACGUCCGUGUGUGUCCGUACGCACACACAUGACGUCCGUGGCUGUCCGUGGGUGUCCGUGUGUGUCCGUCAGCACACACAGGACGUCCGUGGCUGUGCAUCAGUACACAUAUCAGCACGUUGGACCUUGGACUCAGCAUGCUGACCCUUCCCAUGGACUGUUCGGGUGAUUUUGGCCCACGUGGGUUGUCUGUUCAGUACACUCAGGAUGUCCGUGGGUGUCCGCCAGCACACACAGGACGUCUGCGGCUGUCCGUCAGCACACAUAGGACGUCCGUGGCUGUCCAUCAGUACACAUAUCAGGCACGCGGGUCCUUGGACUCAGCACGCUGGCCCUUCCCGUGGACUGUUUGGGUGAUUUUCGCCCUUGUGGGCUGUCUGUUCAGUACACACAGGACGUCCAUGGGUGUCCGUGGCUGACAGUGGCUGUCCAUCAGCACACACAGGACGUCUGUGGCUGUCCGUGGCUGUCUGUGUGUGUCCGUGUGUGUCCGUCAGCACACAUAGGACGUCUGUGGCUGUCCAUCAGUACACAUAUCAGCAUGCUGGUCCUUGGACUCAGCACGCUGGCCCUUCCCGUGGACAGUUCAGGUGAUUUUGGCCCAUGUGGGCUGUCUGUUCAGUACACACAGGACGUACGUGGGUGUCCGUCAGCACACACAGGACGUCCGUGUGUCCGUCAGCACGUCCGUCAGCACACACAGGACGUCCGUGGCUGUCCAUCAGUACACAUAUCAGCACAUUGGUCCUUGGACUCAGCACGCUGACCCUUCCUGUGGACUGUUCGGGUGA